rnacentral:rRNA from 1 species
AUUGAACGCUGGCGGCAUGCCUUACACAUGCAAGUCGAACGGUAACAGGUCUUCGGAUGCUGACGAGUGGCGAACGGGUGAGUAAUACAUCGGAACGUGCCUAGUAGUGGGGGAUAACUACUCGAAAGAGUGGCUAAUACCGCAUGAGAUCUACGGAUGAAAGCAGGGGAUCGCAAGACCUUGUGCUACUAGAGCGGCCGAUGGCAGAUUAGGUAGUUGGUGGGAUAAAGGCUUACCAAGCCGACGAGCUGUAGCUGGUCUGAGAGGACGAUCAGCCACACUGGGACUGAGACACGGCCCAGACUCCUACGGGAGGCAGCAGUGGGGAAUUUUGGACAAUGGGCGAAAGCCUGAUCCAGCAAUGCCGCGUGCAGGAUGAAGGCCUUCGGGUUGUAAACUGCUUUUGUACGGAACGAAAAGCCCCGGGUUAAUACCCUGGGGUCAUGACGGUACCGUAAGAAUAAGCACCGGCUAACUACGUGCCAGCAGCCGCCGUAA